GUCCCAGCUCGCCAACUCCGUCUUAUCCUAUCCGGAAGCGGGAAAACGACAUUUCCCAUAAACCCCAACGGCGGGGCUUGCGCGCCUGUAUGGCCCGAACACGCCGCACAUCGGUCCAAUGAGAGAGUCGGUCUCUUAGCAGGCGAACGCACGCCCAGGCGGACGGAAGUGGCGUCACCGGGCGACGGAAGUGGCUGGAGCUACUCGGACGGCCUGACUUAAGCGAAGAGCCCGGAACCUGGGGCUGGAGGGGGUUUUGCCGCCUCCGACUCUUCGCCUCUGGAGCGGAGGUCAGCCCCGCUCUCACGCAGCCCAAGCGUCGCCCCUGGCCCGCCUAGCCCGGGAAGAGCGGGCUCCUGGCUGUGUUGGGGGCAGAGCCCGGGCGGCCGUCCGGGAAGGACUCCGGCGGGGCCUCGGGGUUCCCGUGCCCAGCGUCGGGCUGGCAGCACCCGCCGCCGCAUCCCUUGGGCUUGGCAGCCUCCCCUCUCUCCAGUCCAAAUAAGAUGCAGACCUUAAUUUUUGUCCGAAAAACAGAAGCAGCCUCCGUGUAGGACUGGGCUCGGCCGAGCUCCCCUUGCUGGUUCCCAGGUUUCCGUUUGGGAGGAAAAAUAGUUUAGAAAAGUCACAAAUUGACAGCUCCAGCCCUAAACAGCCCAUGCAGUCCCAGAGGAGCGAGAGAACUAGAUUUCCAGGGUUCUAACAAAAUAAGACUGAGGAUGUCCAGUUUCAACAAAAAAUUACAAAACAUGCUAAGUAAUAGGAAAGUAUGGCCCGGACACAGAACUUGCCAGAAACCAUCCCUGAGAAAUCUCAUACAUUUUAACUAUUAGUCAAACACUUUAAACCAAUCAUUAAAUAUGUUUAAUGAGCUAAAGGAACCCAAACUCAAAGAACUAAAGAAUAUAAGAAAAACUGCCCGAACAAAACAGAAAUGGUAGAACCAAACAAAUCUUGGAGCUGCAAAAUACAGUAAAAUGAAAAACUACACAGAUACAAUAGCAGAUUUGAACAGACAGAAGAAAGUAUCUGCAAACUAAGAAAAAAAACCUGAAGAAAAAUGAACAGCCUGAUGGGCCUGUGGGACACCAUCAGGUAAAAUGAUGUAAGCAUUGUGAGAGUCCCUGAAGGACGACAGAGAAAAGGGCAGAAAAAGGAUUUGAAGAAAUAACGGCUGAAAACUUCCCAAACCUGAAUAUUAUCCACAUCCAGGAAGCCCAGUGACCUCCAAGCAGGAUCCCACAGAUCUACACAAAGACACACUAUAUUGAACUCUCAAAAUCCAAAGACGAGGAGAAGAAUUCAAAAACAGUAAGAGAGAAGUGAUUUGUCACAUGCAAGGUUGCCAAUAAGAUUAAGAGCGGAUUUCUCGUUAGAACCCAUGGAGGCCAGAAGAUGGUGGGAUGACACAUUUAAAUAUUUAAAGAAAAAAACCUGUCAACCAAAAUGCUGUAUCUGGCAAAACUGUCCUUCAAAACUGCAGGCCAAAUUAAGACAUUUACAGAUAAACAAAAGCUGAAAGAGUUCAUUACCUGAAGACCUGCGCUACAAAAACAUGCUAAAGGGAGUUCUUCAUGCUGCAAUGAAAGGACACUAGACAGCAACCUGAAGCUGUAAGACAUAGAACUACAUAGGUAAUAUAGAAACGUCUUACUGCACUUUUGGAUCGUAACUGCCCCCCCCCCCCUUACUGAGGUUUUAAAUCUGUGUUAAGGGGCAGAGUGGAUGAGAUGCCACCUGAGCCCAAUGCUGCCAAGGGGGAGUCUGCAGGUGAUGCAGAACAGUCCG